rnacentral:rRNA from 1 species
UACGGGGGGAGCAAGCGUUGUUCGGAUUUACUGGGCGUAAAGGGCGCGUAGGCGGUCAGCACAAGUCAGUUGUGAAAUCUCCGGGCUUAACUCGGAAAGGUCAACUGAUACUGUGCGACUAGAGUGCGGAAGGGGCAACUGGAAUUCUCGGUGUAGCGGUGAAAUGCGUAGAGAUCGGCAGGAACACCCAGGGGGAAACCAGCCGACUGGGCAGCUGCUGACGCUGAGGUGCGAGAGCGUGGGGAGCGAACCGG